UGAGGAACAUGACUUUCGGCGGGGGAUAGCCGGCCCAACGGCCGGGUAAUACCGCGUACGACCCGAUGGAGACAUCUCCGUUGGGUGAAAGCAGCAAUGCACCGAAAGAGUGCCUCGCGGCCUAUCAGCUAGUUGGUGGGGUAACGCUCACCAAGGCGACGACGGGUAGCUGGUCUGAGAGGAUGGCCAGCCACAGUUGGGACUGAGACACCGGCCCAGACCUCCGUACGGGGAGG
rnacentral:rRNA from 1 species